rnacentral:rRNA from 1 species
ACGAACGCUGGCGGCGUGCCUCAUACAUGCAAGUAGAACGCUGAAGAGAGGAGCUUGCUCUUCUUGGAUGAGUUGCGAACGGGUGAGUAACGCGUAGGUAACCUGCCUUGUAGCGGGGGAUAACUAUUGGAAACGAUAGCUAAUACCGCAUAACAAUGGAUGACACAUGUCAUUUAUUUGAAAGGGGCAAUUGCUCCACUACAAGAUGGGCCUGCGUUGUAUUAGCUAGUAGGUGAGGUAAUGGCUCACCUAGGCGACGAUACAUAGCCGACCUGAGAGGGUGAUCGGCCACACUGGGACUGAGACACGGCCCAGACUCCUACGGGAGGCAGCAGUAGGGAAUCUUCGGCAAUGGGGGCAACCCUGACCGAGCAACGCCGCGUGAGUGAAGAAGGUUUUCGGAUCGUAAAGCUCUGUUGUAAGUCAAGAACGGGUGUGAGAGUGGAAAGUUCACACUGUGACGGUAGCUUACCAGAAAGAGACGGCUAACUACGUG